UACGUAGGGGGCAAGCGUUGUCCGGAUUUAUUGGGCGUAGAGCGUGUAGGCGGCCAGGUAGGUCCGUUGUGAAAACUCGAGGCUCAACCUCGAGACGUCGGCGGAAACCCUCUGGCUAGAGUCCGGAAGAGGAGAGUGGAAUUCCUGGUGUAGCGGUGAAAUGCGCAGAUAUCAGGAAGAACACCAAUGGCGAAGGCAGCUCUCUGGGACGGUACUGACGCUGAGACGCGAAAGCGUGGGGAGCGAACAGG
rnacentral:rRNA from 1 species